CUUAGUGAGGUCUUCGGAUUGGCUUUGGGGAGCCGGCGACGGCACCCUAUCGCUGAGAAGUCGAUCAAACUUGGUCAUUUAGAGGAAGUAAAAGUCGUAACAAGGUUUCCGUAGGUGAACCUGCGGAAGGAUCAUUAUNGAAAUWAUAGGUGAGGGUUGUAGCUGGCCUCUCGGGGCAUGUGCACGCCCGAGCCCUUAAUCCACACACACCUGUGAACCUAUUGUAAGGGCCCUUAAAAAAGGCCUUUACGUCUUAUCAUCAACCCAUCGUAUGUCUCAUAGAAUGUAAAUAUAUGUCCUCGCCUUAAAAAGCGUUGAUAAACUUAUACAACUUUCAACAACGGAUCUCUUGGCUCUCGCAUCGAUGAAGAACGCAGCGAAAUGCGAUAAGUAAUGUGAAUUGCAGAUUUUCAGUGAAUCAUCGAAUCUUUGAACGCACCUUGCGCUCCUUGGUAUUCCGAGGAGCAUGCCUGUUUGAGUGUCAUUAAAUUCUCAACUCUGAUCGAUUUGUUUCGACUUCGGAGCUUGGAUUUGGAGCGUGCUGGCGUCGGUCGGCUCCUCUUAAAUGCAUCAGCGGAAUCUAACGUUUCGGACGUCAGUGUGAUAAUCAUGUUGCGCUGUCUGUCUGAUCCGAAAGCCCGCUCACAAUGGUCUUCGGACAACUUCAUAUCAAAUUUGACCUCAAAUCAGGUAGGACUACCCGCUGAACUUAAGCAUAUCAAUAAGCGGAGGAAAAGAAACUAACAAGGAUUCCCCUAGUAACUGCGAGUGAAGCGGGAAAAGCUCAAAUUUAAAAUCUGGCGGUCUUGCGGCCGUCCGAGUUGUAAUCUGGAGAAGCGUUUAUCCGCGUCGGACCGUGUACAAGUCUUCUGGAAGGGAGCGUCGUAGAGGGUGAGAAUCCCGUCUUUGACACGGACAACCGGUGCUUUUGUGAUGCGCUCUC
rnacentral:rRNA from 1 species